rnacentral:tRNA from 1 species
GGUCCAGUAGCGUAGCCUGGUUAGCGCGCACGACUGAUAAUCGUGAGGUCGCAAGUUCAAAUCUUGCCUGGACCA